UACGUAGGGGGCGAGCGUUGUCCGGAUUUAUUGGGCGUAAAGAGCGUGUAGGCGGCCUGGCAGGUCUGCUGUGAAAACUCGAGGCUCAACCUCGAGAUGUCGGCGGAAACCGUCUGGCUAGAGUCCGGAAGAGGAGAGUGGAAUUCCUGGUGUAGCGGUGAAAUGCGCAGAUAUCAGGAGGAACACCGGUGGCGAAGGCGGGAUCCUGGGCCAGUACUGACGCUGAGGAGCGAAAGCGUGGGGAGCAAGCAGGAGUAAGAACCCUGA
rnacentral:rRNA from 1 species